rnacentral:lncRNA from 9 species
UCUGGACUUGCUUAGCAGGAUAGUAUCAAUUGGCUUAGAACCAAAUUACUAGCUUCAUUCCUGAAACCUGGUUGGCAUACUAGAUGGACAUCACAGAACUGGGUGGGAAGCAGUAUAUUCUUAAAAAAAAAAAAAAAAAAAAAAAAAAAAAAAAAAAAAAAAAAAAAAAAAAGGCAGCUGUUGGAAAAUGGGAAAAGGCUUCAAGAGAGUCAACCAACUAUUGCCCACUGAUUGCAUUGGUUAUAUAGGCUGCUGAGAAAUUAUGAGAGAAUAAAGUAAUCUGGCAAGGGGGAGGUAAAAGAAGGGAAUUCAAAAAUAUUAAGUACUUCUAAUGUUUAAGAGUCAAUGCCAAGAGACUAUAAGGUUAUGGGGGAAAUCCUGCAAAACAUUUUGAUUUCUGUUUUCAGUAAUCAUGCACUCUCUGAUACAAAAUAAAUGAGUAAUGGGUUUAAAGAGAAAGGUGAUGAGGUCAGUUUUAAAUGCCUGGAGUAUCAGGUAUAUCUACUCAUAUAUUCAAGAUUUCUGGGAGGAGAUGGGAAAUGGGUAUACUACUGAGAUCAGUGAAAGUUUCUACAGGAUAUAUACAAUGCAACUAUGAAAAUGACCUGCCUUAGAAUACUAUGAAGAGUAUAUAAAGAAAAAAGACCUGCAGAUAGAGCACUGGUGACUAUCAAGAACUGAACAAGGAACAAAAGAGGACAUUAAAACUAUUUUAGGAGAGAAUGGAGACAUCAAAGCCAAGAGAGGGUAUGUUCUCAUAACAGCAAUGGCUAAUGCAAUUGAAAAAGUCAAAGAAGUUCAAGAAAGGAGUCCUGGAGUUCCCGUCGUGGCGCAGUGGUUAACGAAUCCGACUAGGAACCAUGAGGUUGCAGGUUCGAUCCCUGCCCUUGCUCAGUGGGUUAACGAUCCGGCGUUGCCAUGAACUGUGGUGUAGGUUACAGACGCGGCUCGGAUCCCGAGUUGCUGUGGCUCUGGCAUAGGCUGGCAGCUACAGCUCCGAUUAGACCCCUAGCCUGGGAACCUCCAUAUGCCGCGGGAGCAGCCCAAGAAAUACCAAAAAGACAAAAAGACAAAAAGACAAAAAAAAAAAAAAAAAAAAAAAAAGAAAGGAGUCCUUUGGGCAAUAGCGUUGAUAAUACCAAUUGCAGGGGAGUGUUUUGUAGGAAAUCAUGCAACAAUGGGACUAAGGAAAGAAGGACAGGAAAGAAGUGGAAGACAUGUAAGAAAAAAAAAAAAAAAAACCUGUUGUUACAAAGCUUAACUGUAAAUGAAAACAGAGAAGUGGGUUUGACUGAUAAUGACAUUUUGACACUGAAAAAUUUAGAAGACUGGAGAGGUAACGAGCAGGAGGAAGAAGAGAGACAUGAGCAGGAACACAAAUGCACUUACAAACAGGAGACAACAAACAACUAUGUCCGAGUAGAAAGGGAAGAAUCAGAGUCUGGAAUUCUCAGAAGACUGAGUCAAGGCUUGCAGUAUCUGUGAUGCCAACAACUGUGUUUCUGCAGUAUUUUCCCAGUCUUGUAAUAUUGGCCAAAAUGAAAGAAGGAUUCAGUACAAAGAGGAUGGCCUUUCUGCAGGAUGCUUCUACUAAGGACAGCAUGGCAAGGCCUUCCAUGAACCAGAUUACUAUGAAUCCUGGAAUUCUGGAAAGUAACCAGCCAUGAAGCCAACAAUGAUUUAAGACCAAGAUAUAGUAGGAAGGAGCAACCAAGAUUUGAAGGCAGUACAGAUCGGUGGACAUCGAAGUGGAUGUGAGACUACCCUCUUUAGAAUUUUGUUUUCAAAAUAUACAGAAAAGAUGUCACUUAGGAUACAAUUCUUGAAUAUUUUAUUAUAAGAGGCUAUUUUGAAAAUAUCUAUAGCCACUAACUCAUAAAAAAGAGUCAUUUUUAACUUAUUUCCAGAUUGCCUUCCAUAGAUCCUUGAAGAAGAGGUUCCAAAUUUAUUUUGAUCUUUUGAUUGCUUAAAGACAUUCACCAAGAAACUUUUGGAGCUUUCAACCUUUCUACAGAAACAUUCAUUUGAACGAGAGAGAAUAUUUUGCAAAUUGACUCCCAGGCUGAUUUCUUACCAUCAUUCAAAAUGGAUUUGGGCCAGCUCCUUCAGCCAUCAGUUAUGUGAUACAAGUUGAUUUUAAUAAUGCAUUCUAAAUACAAAUAGAAAUGACUAUUGUCUAUGUUUUGAACUAUCUGUUCAACAUUGUUUAGCUAGAUAAGUGAAAAUUUAUCCCAUUUCUAAUUUCUGUUAUUUAGUAAUUAGAUCACUUUGCCUUUUUGGUUCCAGUUAGAUAGUAAUUAAUAAAAAGACUACUCUUUUUCUUGGAAGGAAAAUAAGUGAAUGCCUCUUGAGAAAAAUAUAUCAUGUGCAGAAAGUCAUAGGUUUGUCUCAAAAAGGUAAUUUAUUUUAUAUAUAACAGAAACUAAUAUAAAAAUGAGUGGGAACAUCUUUUAGGAAAAUCAUUUGACAUCCAGUGAAUAUUAAAUGGGUAUACAUUUAUUUCUAAGACAAUGUCUUCUUUUCACCUUUUUUGUGAAAAUCCAUCAUGUUUCCAGGAGUUUGAAUAACAGCAUUCUAAUUUAAAAUGUUUACUAGUAAUAGUCAAUAUUAACUAUAAAAUCUCUAUAUCAAAAUGUAUAUUAUAAUUUCUAGCUCUCACACUUCAAUCAUAACUCUAUAUUAGGGAUUGAGUGGAACAUCUAAAAACAUCUCAUGAUAACAUACAUGUUUUUCAUACUUCAAAAUCCAUUGUAUUGACAAUUAUUAUGCCAGAUAGUCUAGGCCCUAUAAAGAAUGGGAAUUUUUUCACAGAUAUCAUGGUAUUUUUACUAAUACAGUGUCUGGAUGCUAACUAACGUAAAUUCCCUGUACUUUUAAGAACAUUAUUACUUUUUAAUACAACCAUUAAAAAGCCCAAACAGAAAAUUACUAAUAAGUUUUCCAAAAUUAUUUUUGAUAUUAUUCUUAAUGUAUCAUUAAAGCUCAAAAUUUUAUUUAAUUCAUUUCUGUUAAAAUAUAGAAAAAUCUGUAUGUAUUAGUCAUUAUUGUUUUUGUUUUAAAAUGAAAAUAUUUUCAAUUAGUCAAAUGUAAUAUGUUAUGAUUACCAACUAUUGCACUCGAUAUUCAUAUGCAAAAUGUAAUCCAAACUUUACUGGGAGAAUUCUACUAGGCUAAAACAUUUUAAUGUAGAACAUUUAAAUAAACAACAUUUGUUAUUCAAUAUAUUUAUGCUUUAGGCACCACUCUAAAUUUUUCUUAGUUUUUGGUUUGUAAUAUGUAAUAUAUUUUAUAUACACAUACAUGCACACACACCCCCUCCAAAUGACAGUUCUUUUUGAUUGCAGUCAUUGGUUAUGGUCAAUUUUUAUUUUGUUAAAAUAUUCUUUCUUUCCAUGUUUAAUGCACUCUCCCUAAAUGGAUAUUAAAGAAAUGAUUCCCAUUUUUUGCACAUAUGAAGAAUAAAAAUAAUUUAGUGAGAACACUUUCUCCACUCAAAUUUUAAAUAAUCAAGAGAAAGCUAAGUUCGUAAUGUGAACUGAUAUACUUAGUUCAAUCAUUUUCAUAAGUGCUCAGAAAGAGUAUAUGUGGAGGGACACUGCCAUAAUUAGAGCAUGUAGAGAUAGUGACAGUUCACAGCCCAGAGCCCCUGAGAAAAAUAAUCCACUUUUCAAAAUACAGAACUAAAUAAACCCUUUGGCUUACUUUUCUCUUGAGGUGUAUGGUCUAUCCUCCCACUAAAGGAUAUCCUGUAUAAAGAAAAAUCACACUUCUUUCAAUGUUCUUUUCUUUGCUUAAAAUGUCUCCAAAUCAAGAAUUGAAAAGUUACUAUUUUUUUAUUUCUUUACAGCAUAUUCAAUUUCAAAAAUUUUGGAACAGGACCUACCAUGGAAAAUGUUCAAACUUUAUCCUCUUGAUAGAUACUACAUAGAUACAUCAGAAUGAGAUCAAUAUGUCCUCACAUUUAAAUAGAACAUCCCAUUACAUAGAGGCAGGCUGUCAAGAUUGGAUUGCAUGUAUAAUCUUCUUUAAAAGAAUUAAUGCUUCCAAAUGAAUAUGAUGAAAUAGAGUAGAAAACAAUAUUCUCAUUGCCAAUCUAUCAUUUUAAAGUAAUACCUAGGCAGUCCAUCAGCACCAAGAAGAUAGGGACAUCUGCUACACAUUUCUGAGACAGCCUCAUUUACAUAUUUGUAAAUAUUAAAUAUAAAUUUAGAAAUUGAUAUUUUCUCUUUAUAAACGGUCAUAAAUCAUUGAUGGAAUCUGAAUAUGCUUAAGAUGAAUUGAUUCAUCCUCUGGUUCUCUUAGAAGAAUAGCUACUUUUGUUGUCCAUAUUUGUAACAUUCUGUGCUGUGACAGGAUAUUUGUAAAAAAAUACAGAUGCUGAUAUUUUUCUCUUAUUUUUCCCCCUCUCUUUAGUUACUAUAUACUAUAUACGUCUGCUGUAAUGUUUUGUCUAGCUUUUUGUCUAAGUACAUUGGUCACAAGGGUUCAUUUUCAAGUAUCUAGUAGAUAACUAUUUGUUAUUCCUUUUUAUUUUAUCUUCCCAGUUUGGGGUUUAUAUGAGAUAUGACAAUGCAAUAGAACAUAUUUGUAAUUUAGUUAAUUUUCUAAAUUCUAAGCUAGGGUUAACAAAAAAAAAAAAAAUCCUGGUCUUUGCUCAUUAAGAACAUUUGUUAACCAAUAUUUAGUCUAUUUGAGAAAUUCUUUUUACACUAUAUUCUCCGGUUCUUGUUUUUAUAUCCCUUAUUGACUCUCAGUUGAAUAGAUAUCAAUACUAUUUUUAAAUGCAUUUGUUAAGUAGAUGGCAAAUAAAUAUAUGAAAUAUAAAGGUCAAUUUAAAAAUGAAUAUAUUCCAAAUGUGCAUUUGUAGAUUGGCUGUUUGUAAUUGGUAACAUAUUUUUCUAUAGAAUAUAGCUGUUAGAUUCCCAGACUGGCCCAUAUAUAAAUCAUACUGUUUAAUCAAUGCCAAUUAUACUAGCCAUGGUUGUUGACAGCAGGGUCCCUGCUACUUCAGGGAAGAGGAGACUGAGAAGCAUAAUGAAGAUAAUUACUCCCCCCACCCUCCCUUUUUCUUGGAUUUAAAACUGUUUCAAUACUUUUAGGAACAGUCAAUUAGAAAAAAAAAAUUACACCUUUAAGACUUUCUUUCUGCAUCUACCUCUAAUUUAAAAUAGUCUACUCUACUGAUUCCUAAACACUUAAAUACUAUCUAUAGCUAACAUUUUUUAAGCUCUUGCUAUAUUCCAAGGGUAAGUUCAAAUGCUUUAUAGGUAUUAUUUUAUGGGAACCACAACUCUGUGAUGUGUGUACUAAAAUUAUCAGAAUUUUACAGAUGUGUAAAUAAAAGAAGGAGAUUCAGAGAUUUUUUUUUUUUUUUUCACAAUGAGGAAGUGACAGGGUUGGGUCCCAAGUAUAUUUAUUCCAUCCCAAAUCCCAUCCCAGUGCGGCCGCACACCAAGGUCUACCUCCACAAUGCUAGCCCUCUCCCCUCUUGUUAAACCCACUAUCAAACUACUCAUUUAUUCACAUAGCUAAUCUAACCUAGGUCUUACAAAACAAGUAUUACUUUUUUAUCUAAAUAUUAGUUUCUUCUAAAUCUUCUCAGAGGGAUUUUAAAAGGUAAAAUCUGAAUUUCAGAUAAAUACCUUAUGGGGAUAAUUUUCUGAAUUCAGACAAAUACCUUAUGGGGAUAAUUUUCAUUGAAAAGAAAAGUGAAGGAAAAGAUAACACCCCG